GACGAACGCUGGCGGCGUGCUUAACAUAUGCAAGUCGAACGGAAAGGCCCUGCUUUUGUGGGGUGCUCGAGUGGCGAACGGGUGAGUAACACGUGAGUAACCUGCCCUUGACUUUGGGAUAACUUCAGGAAACUGGGGCUAAUACCGGAUAGGAGCUCCUGCUGCAUGGUGGGGGUUGGAAAGUUUCGGCGGUUGGGGAUGGACUCGCGGCUUAUCAGCUUGUUGGUGGGGUAGUGGCUUACCAAGGCUUUGACGGGUAGCCGGCCUGAGAGGGUGACCGGCAACAUUGGGACUGAGAUACGGCCCAGACUCCUACGGGAGGCAGCAGUGGGGAAUAUUGCACAAUGGGCGGAAGCCUGAUGCAGCAACGCCGCGUGCGGGAUGACGGCCUUCGGGUUGUAAACCGCUUUCGCCUGUGACGAAGCGUGAGUGACGGUAAUGGGUAAAGAAGCACCGGCUAACUACGU
rnacentral:rRNA from 1 species